rnacentral:rRNA from 1 species
UGGGGAAUUUUGGACAAUGGGCGAAAGCCUGAUCCAGCAAUGCCGCGUGUGUGAAGAAGGCCUUCGGGUUGUAAAGCACUUUUGUCCGGAAAGAAAUGGCUCUGGUUAAUACCUGGGGUCGAUGACGGUACCGGAAGAAUAAGGACCGGCUAACUACGUGCCAGCAGCCGCGGUAAUAAGUAGGGUCCAAGCGUUAAUCGGAAUUACUGGGCGUAAAGCGUGCGCAGGCGGUUGUGCAAGACCGAUGUGAAAUCCCCGAGCUUAACUUGGGAAUUGCAUUGGUGACUGCACGGCUAGAGUGUGUCAGAGGGGGGUAGAAUUCCACGUGUAGCAGUGAAAUGCGUAGAGAUGUGGAGGAAUACCGAUGGCGAAGGCAGCCCCCUGGGAUAACACUGACGCUCAUGCACGAAAGCGUGGGGAGCAAACAGG